UUACGAAAACUUCGCAAUGCACGAAAGUGUGACGAGGGGAUUCUGAGUGCUUACGGUUUAUCCGUAGGCUUUUCGCCAGGGCAAAGACCUGGCGGAAUAAGUGGUGGGCAAGACUGGUGCCAGCCGCCGCGGUAACCCCAGCGCCACAAGUGGGAACCACGUUUAUUGGGUUUAAAGCAUUCGUAGCCGGUUCGGCAAAUGCCCUGUGAAAUCGUUCCGCUCAACGGGACGGCGUGCAGGGUAGACUACCGAACUAGGGACCAGGGGAAGGAGACGGUAUUCCUGAGGGAGCGGUAAAAUGUGAUAAUCUCAGGAGGACCACCGAUGGCGAAGGCAGUCUCCUAAAAUGGAUCCGACGGUGAGGGAUGAAAGCUAGGGGAGCGAUCCGG
rnacentral:rRNA from 1 species